CUGAACACAGGAAGCACCACACAAACCCUGACCCUGAAAGGUUGGGAGGAAACCAAGAGCCUGAAGGGACAGGCCAGCUUCCUCUCUGGAGUGUGCUAAUAAUGUGAGCGCCACAGUAAUUAAUUCUCUUACAGCCAAGAUUUUCGAAAUUAAACAAAAGAAAAGAAAAGCCAAAGCACUAAAGCAUGUUUUGUACACAGUUUGAAAUACAUCAAUACAAAUUAUCAUCUUCGCUUUACCAGACGGAAGAAUAAGAAUGGUUUUUACUUAAAAUUCUGAGCACUCCACUCUAGGACACAGGAGAAUACAUUUCACUCAGAGCUCUGGCUCUCCCAUCCCUUGGGGAACCAUCAUGGUGGACCGUCCUCCAUUCCCUUUUGGAGGACAUGUAUGCAUCAUCUCCAUCAAAUGAUGACAAUGCCUGGGAACAAGAGGACAGGGACAGAUUUUCCUCCUCCAAAUCCUCAUCGAAUCUCAUCUUAAUGAGAUGUGGGGCAAACGGCCUACAUUGGUUGUUUUAUAAUACAUAACAUUUCCCUGGGGGUCUGCAACUUCAGGGUUCUGAAUAAAAAGUUUUCUAUCCCCA